CGGGAGGCAGCAGUUAGGAAUCUUCCACAAUGGGCGAAAGCCUGAUGGAGCGACGCCGCGUGAGGGAUGAAGGCCCUCGGGUUGUAAACCUCUAAAAGGGGGACGAUAAUGACGGUACCCCUUGAAAAGCACCGGCUAACUCCGUGCCAGCAGCCGCGGUAAUACGGAGGGUGCAAGCGUUAUCCGGAAUCACUGGGCGUAAAGGGCGUGUAGGCGGCCUGUUAAGUCCGAUGUUAAAGACCGGGGCUCAACCCCGGCACGGCGUUGGAUACUGGCAGGCUAGACGGCUGGAGAGGAAAGUGGAAUUACCAGUGUAGCGGUGGAAUGCGUAGAUACUGGUAGGAACACCCAUGCGAAGGCAGCUUUCUGGACAGCCCGUGACGCUGAGGCGCGAAAGUGUGGGGAGCAAACCGGAUUAGAUACCCGGGUAGUCCACACCCUAAAC
rnacentral:rRNA from 1 species